rnacentral:piRNA from 1 species
UUUUAUGGAAAUGGUGACUAGGAU